AGUGAACGCUGGCGGUAGGCCUAACACAUGCAAGUCGAACGGCAGCACAGUAAGAGCUUGCUCUUACGGGUGGCGAGUGGCGGACGGGUGAGGAAUACAUCGGAAUCUACUUUUUCGUGGGGGAUAACGUAGGGAAACUUACGCUAAUACCGCAUACGACCUACGGGUGAAAGCAGGGGAUCUUCGGACCUUUCGCGAUUGAAUGAGCCGAUGUCGGAUUAGCUAGUUGGCGGGGUAAAGGCCCACCAAGGCGACGAUCCGUAGCUGGGCUGAGAGGAUGAUCAGCCACACUGGAACUGAGACACGGUCCAGACUCCUACGGGAGGCAGCAGUGGGGAAUAUUGGACAAUGGGCGCAAGCCUGAUCCAGCCAUACCGCGUGAGUGAAGAAGGCCUUCGGGUUGUAAAGCCCUUUUGUUGGGAAAGAAAAGCAGCAGGUUAAUACCCCGCUGUUCUGACGGUACCCAAAGAAUAAGCACCGGCUAACUUCGUG
rnacentral:rRNA from 1 species